rnacentral:sRNA from 1 species
ACUCAACAGAGAUUCUUUAAAGAGGGUGAGUCUAAGUUGUAAAAGCGCGCCGCUCCCGAUUAUUCGGGAUGAGCGGAUUCUUGAUCAGCUUGUUAGCCCUAAACUUGUUUUUAUGGAGUUU